GAAAUGGGUGGAUGGGAGUG
rnacentral:miRNA from 1 species